CUGCCGUGGGCGCUGGAGAAUUGAGGGGGGCUGCUCCUAGUACGAGAGGACCGGAGUGGACGCAUCACUGGUGUUCGGGUUGUCAUGCCAAUGGCACUGCCCGGUAGCUAAAUGCGGAAGAGAUAAGUGCUGAAAGCAUCUAAGCACGAAACUUGCCCCGAGAUGAGUUCUCCCUGACUCCUUGAGAGUCCUGAAGGAACGUUGAAGACGACGACGUUGAUAGGCCGGGUGUGUAAGCGCAGCGAUGCGUUGAGCUAACCGGUACUAAUGAACCGUGAGGCUUAACCUUACAACGCCGAAGGUGUUU
rnacentral:rRNA from 1 species